rnacentral:rRNA from 1 species
CACGUGGGUAACCUGCCUGUAAGACUGGGAUAACUCCGGGAAACCGGGGCUAAUACCGGAUGGUUGUUUGAACCGCAUGGUUCAAACAUAAAAGGUGGCUUCGGCUACCACUUACAGAUGGACCCGCGGCGCAUUAGCUAGUUGGUGAGGUAACGGCUCACCAAGGCAACGAUGCGUAGCCGACCUGAGAGGGUGAUCGGCCACACUGGGACUGAGACACGGCCCAGACUCCUACGGGAGGCAGCAGUAGGGAAUCUUCCGCAAUGGACGAAAGUCUGACGGAGCAACGCCGCGUGAGUGAUGAAGGUUUUCGGAUCGUAAAGCUCUGUUGUUAGGGAAGAACAAGUACCGUUCGAAUAGGGCGGUACCUUGACGGUACCUAACCAGAAAGCCACGGCUAACUACGUGCCAGCAGCCGCGGUAAUACGUAGGUGGCAAGCGUUGUCCGGAAUUAUUGGGCGUAAAGGGCUCGCAGGCGGUUUCUUAAGUCUGAUGUGAAAGCCCCCGGCUCAACCGGGGAGGGUCAUUGGAAACUGGGGAACUUGAGUGCAGAAGAGGAGAGUGGAAUUCCACGUGUAGCGGUGAAAUGCGUAAAGAUGUGGAGGAACACCAGUGGCGAAGGCGACUCUCUGGUCUGUAACUGACGCUGAGGAGCGAAAGCGUGGGGAGCGAACAGGAUUACAUACCCUGGUAGUCCACGCCGUAAACGAUGAGU